rnacentral:rRNA from 1 species
UACGUAGGGUGCGAGCGUUGUCCGGAAUUACUGGGCGUAAAGAGCUCGUAGGGGGUUUGUCGCGUUGUUCGUGAAAACUCACAACUCAAUUGUGGGCGUGCGGGCGAUACGGGCAGACUGGAGUACUGCAGGGGGAGACUGGAAUUCCUGGUGUAGCGGUGGAAUGCGCAGAUAUCAGGAGGAACACCGGUGGCGAAGGCGGGUCUCUGGGCAGUAACUGACGCUGAGGAGCGAAAGCGUGGGGAGCGAACAGG